rnacentral:rRNA from 1 species
AGAACGAACGCUGGCGGCAUGCCUAACACAUGCAAGUCGAACGAGACCUUCGGGUCUAGUGGCGCACGGGUGCGUAACGCGUGGGAAUCUACCCUUGGGUUCGGAAUAACAGCGGGAAACUGCUGCUAAUACCGGAUAAUGACGUAAGUCCAAAGAUUUAUCGCCCAAGGAUGAGCCCGCGUAGGAUUAGCUAGUUGGUGAGGUAAAGGCUCACCAAGGCAACGAUCCUUAGCUGGUCUGAGAGGAUGAUCAGCCACACUGGGACUGAGACACGGCCCAGACUCCUACGGGAGGCAGCAGGUGGGGAAUAGUUGGACAAUGGGCGAAAGCCUGAUCCAGCAAUGCCGCGUGAGUGAUGAAGGCCUUAGGUGUAAAGCUCUUUUACCGGGAUGAUAAUGACAGUACCGGAGAAUAAGCUCCGGCUAACGUCCGUGCCAGCACGCCGGCGU